rnacentral:rRNA from 1 species
UUGCCUCAGUAACGGCGAGUGAAGCGGCAAGAGCUCAAAUUUGAAAGCUGGCUCCUUCGGGGUCCGCAUUGUAAUUUGCAGAGGAUGCUUCGGGUGCGGCCCCUGUCUAAGUGCCCUGGAACGGGCCGUCAGAGAGGGUGAGAAUCCCGUCUGGGAUGGGGUGUCCGCGCCCGUGUGAAGCUCCUUCGACGAGUCGAGUUGUUUGGGAAUGCAGCUCUAAAUGGGUGGUAAAUUUCAUCUAAAGCUAAAUACUGGCCGGAGACCGAUAGCGCACAAGUUAGAGUGAUCGAAAAGAUGAAAAGCACUUUGAAAAGAGAGUUAAAAAGCACGUGAAAUUGUUGAAAGGGAAGCGCUUGCGACCAGACUCGGCCUCCAGGGUUCAGCCGGCAUUCGUGCCGGUGUACUUCCCUGGGGGCGGGCCAGCGUCGGUUUGGGCGGCCGGUCAAAGGCUCCCGGAAUGUAGUGCCCUCCGGGGCACCUUAUAGCCGGGAGUGCAAUGCGGCCAGCCUGGACCGAGGAACGCGCUUCGGCACGGACGCUGGCAUAAUGGUCGUAAACGACCCGUCUUGAAACACGGACCAAGGAGUCUAACAUCUACGCGAGUGUUCGGGUGUCAAACCCGUACGCGCAGUGAAAGCGAACGGAGGUGGGAGCCCCCUCGUGGGGCGCACCAUCGACCGAUCCUGAUGUCUUCGGAUGGAUUUGAGUAAGAGCGUAAAUGUGGGGACCCGAAAGAUGGUGAACUAUGCCUGAAUAGGGCGAAGCCAGAGGAAACUCUGGUGGAGGCUCGCAGCGGUUCUGACGUGCAAAUCGAUCGUCAAAUUUGGGUAUAGGGGCGAAAGACUAAUCGAAACCAUCUAGUAGCUACUGCUUGCGGA